AUUACAUUUGGACCGUCUGUCUACCGAGAAAUUUCACCCACUCAGUGUAAGAUCUACCCUUUGUCUU
rfam:Bombyx mori DNA, contig: Bm_scaf21_contig14941, strain: p50T/Dazao, build 2, whole genome shotgun sequence.